GUCCUAUAAAAAGAUUUAUGAUCCUACUAAAAAGAGUAACAUUUAUUGAGGAGGCUCAACAUGAUAAAGGCUAGAUAUUUAUGCUAACACUUAACUAGUUCCACAAAGCUUUGUUGUCUAUUUGAGCUCCACAGAAUUCAAGGAUCAAAGAAGACUAGCAGACGGAGGACAUCCUAAUCGCUGUCAGAGUGAUUCCGACAUUCAAAUACACCUCCAUCACCUGCUAGCUAUAUCAAAAGAAAUUACGUUAAAAUCCAGCUUGGGGGAGAGCACCCCCAUUUAUCUAGCUAAGUGUUCUACUCACGUUUAUAUUUUACUUAAAUAAUAAAAAGAUGCAUAAUCAUAAAAACCCAAAUAAAGAUUUUGUGCUUAUAUAUAUAUAUCUUUGCUUAGUUUACUUAAUAAAUAAAUAAAUAAAGUUUGCUACGAACCCUCAUGAUAAGCUCUCACAUGGAAAUGAUGAAUAGUUGCUCUGCUAUGAUUAGUUCUAAAAAUUGAAAUCUCUCUCAAGUUUAGGCAUGACUGUUAUUAAUUAAGAUUUGCUCUAAACCUGAACUUGUGGGGAGAGUACUUGAUCUAAAGUCUAAGUUGUUAAUGGAUAUGAUAUGGGAAGGUUGAGCUGCUGUUUAUCUGUUCCUAGAGAUGCUAGAAUUCUGGAGAAUUUUAUCUUUGAAGAUCUUUAAAAUGUUGCAUGAUGAGUUCCUGUAUGAUGAGAGUUUAAAUUCCUACCAUAGCCAUAUAUACAUGCUUGCUAGACUAUGAACCACACAUUUACUUUACUACUUAUGAGCAUUUAGUGUGGUCAAGCUGUGUAGACCCUUAGGAGCUUGUCAUGCGGUUAAAUCAAGAUUCACUUGCACGUUCACUUACACAUGCUGCUUCUACUCCGGAAGUACGCAUCCACAUAUAUCCAACCAUUUCCAUCUCCAGAACCACCCAAAAAUAUUCUACUCCUAAUCCGGGAGAGAAUAGCCAAAAAUAUUCAUGUUUUUCCCCUGUGAAAUAAAUGCUCAAGUUAUCUUGUUACUACCGCUUGCUAUAUUAUCUCAUGAGAUGAGUGCUCUAAAAAAAUAAAAAAAAAGAAAAAAGUAUACGAGGAAAUAAAAAGGGGCAAGUGUCCGGAACCUCGAAAGAAAAGAAAAAGUGAGACGAGAGGUAAAAAUGGACAAGUGUCCGAUAGUAGAAUUAGGGGUACAAGAUACCCACCUGAGAGGAAAGAAAAAGAAAAUACAGAGCAUCUUAUUCUCCCCAAAAGUUUCAAAAGAGCAAGGAAGGUAUGUAUCCCCUCAAAAGAGCAAAAGUAGAAUUAGAUUUUCACCAUUGUUAACACCAUCAUUACCAUGCACCAUUCAUUCGCCACACAUGCACAUCUUGAUUUGACUUAUUGACUUGUUUCUCUGGAUCCAUGGUUUGACUAUGCAAUAAAUGUCUUGUAAGUAUGUAUUAGUUGUCUCCCACCUAUGAGCUCCAGAUAUCAAAAGCCUUAUUAGAGUAGGGUGAGAGAAAAGGCAAUGUCACUAUGCCUCAUACCAAAAAUACCACAUACUUUGAGAGAAGGCAUAUACCAUCACUGCCUUGUUAAGGAUCC
rnacentral:lncRNA from 1 species